GGAGAAUAAGCUCCCUUUCAUAUGUAUGCAGAAAGAAACCGGAGGGGUUAGAGCAGUGAGCCCAGCCUGACGGAAUCACCCUCUCCAAAGACUGCCUGAGGGCCCCUGGCAAGAAACGGCCUCCGCGGAGGAAAUGUCCAGUCCCCUCUCGUCCCUGGUCCUGACGCCAAAGCCUGGGUUGCCCGCCCGAGCACGGAAGAGAGUCAUCUUCCGAAAACGGAACAUGAAUGGUUGCAAACCCACUAAAAAGAGAUUUUCCUUGACUUACCUUUCCUUGACUUACCUUGAUGGAAAUGAGCGUCGUUUCCGUCAUGAAAUGAUGCUCCCUCACCCCCGCAGACUGGAAGCUGCGAUGCCAGAGGGAGAGGCUCUGGGCUCCCGAGGAGAAGAGCCAUUGCUGAUGGACACACAGAUUCCCGCGCUCUUCUCGGAGGGCAGACCUCUAAUUUCAGGAAGAAUCGAGAGACAGCAUGUUCUUUCUAUAUCUAAGAAGACUAUUACUCUGUCCCCAGGUACCAAAAAGCAGAAUCUUCCUAAUGUGUCAUGGGAAACAUUUUAAUCUUUCAUCUGAGAAGUUUUUAAACUUCACUCCAGGGAGGUAAGAAUCAC
rnacentral:lncRNA from 1 species